rnacentral:tRNA from 1 species
UAUGGCUCUGGGACGGAAGGAUUCGAACCUCCGAAUAGCGGGACCAAAACCCGUUGCCUUACCACUUGGCCACGCCCC